GGGGAAUAUUGCACAAUGGGCGCAAGCCUGAUGCAGCGACGCCGCGUGGGGGAUGACGGCCUUCGGGUUGUAAACCUCUUUCAGUAUCGGCGAAGCUCCAGAGUUUUCUUUGGGGUGACGGUAGGUACAGAAGAAGCACCGGCCAACUACGUGCCAGCAGCCGCGGUAAUACGUAGGGUGCGAGCGUUGUCCGGAAUUACUGGGCGUAAAGAGCUCGUAGGUGGUUUGUCACGUCGUCCGUGAAAACUCACAGCUUAACUGUGGGCGUGCGGGCGAUACGGGCAGACUAGAGUACUGUAGGGGAGACUGGAAUUCCUGGUGUAGCGGUGGAAUGCGCAGAUAUCAGGAGGAACACCGGUGGCGAAGGCGGGUCUCUGGGCAGUAACUGACGCUGAGGAGCGAAAGCGUGGGGAGCGAAC
rnacentral:rRNA from 1 species